rnacentral:lncRNA from 1 species
GGGAGACUCUCUCUUAGGGUGCCACUACUAUGGAGACACAGCUGGGCUGAACAAGAUUUGCUUCAAACGACAACAAGAGAGACAGAAAGUAUCUGGUUCAACCGCUGCCCGAGCAGGCAGGCACCAGAAGAGCUAGCAGCCAAUCCGGCCAUGCUCGAAGCCAGCUCUGCAGCUCAGCCAAUCAGUGACAUCAUUGCUUUCUUUAGCUUGCCCAUGGUGAUGUGAAGAUGAGAAGAAAUAGCAAGGCCCAACCAGUUCUUCAUCUGGAGACAGUUCAACGUUCUGCAAACCAGAUCUUCAGGAAUUUUACUGGGAUAAUUAUCCAAAUAAAUUGCAAGCAUUCUAUCCAAAUGGAGCUCUUUCUGAGAUGAAGAGAAUUCUCAAUGUCAAGAUUUGAACAAGAAGAGAAUGGAAUACACAAUAUGGACAUCCAUAAAAAUUCAUCAGAGAGCAUUUUACUACUGAGCUGCAAAGGGAAAAACUUAAAAUGGAUAUGAAAAGUGAAGAAAGUGAUCAUAGGAGAAAACCAUUUCAGAUAUCUGUGGAUAUCUCUCCAGAACUUCAUGUAUAUUUGGAUAAAAGAAAGCUUCGGGCUUUGUAUUUCUUGAAAACCAAGAAAAGUGUCUGAUGAUUUGUGAGCCUCAAGUGACUACUCUGUGGAAUCAUCUGUCCUUGCCUUUGAAUUAGCUUUCCCUAGGCCAUGAGUCAACAUUAGUAGUUUAUACAUCCAAAUUGAUGACAAGAGCACCUCAAAGGCAGCAGCCUCAAGGAGCAGCCAUGGCCCCAGACUUGUCGCACGGAUGCAGAAAACUUAAUGGAGGAGGCUGAGGUUGUGGAAAAUGCACUAGAAUCAACAAACAUGGGGACUAAUUCAACUCGGAUAUCAUGUCUUCAGAGAAGUUUCUCCUGCCCUCCUCUCCCUGUAGAAUUAAGUAUUCUUCCACUGUGCCACCCUCUAACUUGUGCUCAUAUCUUCCUCUAUUGUAGUUAUGUGUUCACAUCCCUGUUGUUUUUGUACCGGCUUCUCCCAAAGGGAGACAUUUAGUCUUAUUCUUCUUGGUAACUUUAGCACAGACCUGGCAGAUUGUUGACACUCAACAAAUGUUUAUUGACUCAAAUGCAUUCAGUUGAACAUUGACCUUUGAUCAACUCUGGGAAAAGUCUGCAAAGCUAGUUAGGACAUUCAGAAAUUCAUUUCAUUUCAAUCCUAACUAAAUAAAUUAUUGAAGUCUCA